rnacentral:rRNA from 1 species
UACGUAGGGUGCAAGCGUUAAUCGGAAUUACUGGGCGUAAAGCGUGCGCAGGCGGUUGUGCAAGACAGAUGUGAAAUCCCCGGGCUCAACCUGGGAAUGGCAUAUGGGACUGAUAGGCUAGAGUAUGGUAGAGGGGGGUAGAAUUCCAUGUGUAGCAGUGAAAUGCGUAGAGAUGUGGAGGAAUGCCGAUGGCGAAGGCAGCCCCCUGGACUGAUACUGACACUCAAGCACGAAAGCGUGGGGAGCAAACAGG